rnacentral:lncRNA from 1 species
AAGGACUAUUCCUAAGUGACUGAAAUGGGCAGGGUGGCCUGCUUGAGUUGGCAUCAGCAACCUGCCUCUCUCACCAGCGGCUUGCCUCUCCCACCAGUAUGUAGGUGGCAAGUAUGACUCUUUAUUCGGAAAUCACCUGAAGAGUCGUGAAAAUCUUCUCUGUCUUAGCUAAGUCGUACUCGACCUCUUUAAAGGAGGAUGCCCCUGCAAAAGUAAAUGUGUUUAGUCUUUUGUAUCUCUCAUGUAGUCUGGGUCCGUAAUGGAAGGAAUUGGACCCCAUGGAAGAUGGACUGGAUUGUGCUGGGGAUGG